ensembl:piRNA 21ur-43 ncRNA
UAUUCCUUUAGGAGCGUAACA